AUUUUUAGUGGAGAUGGGGUUUCUCCUUGUUGGCCAGGCUGGUCUCAAACUGCUGACCUCAGGUGAUCCACCUGCCUCAGCCUCCCGAAGUGCUGGGAUUACAGGCAUGAGCCACCGCGCCGCCCAGACUAGGGUUCAGAAUGUUUUUUGCUUGGCAUCAAAGUGAGUGAGUCUUGGGAAGUUUAUUCCUUAGGUGAUUCCAUCAGGUCAGAAUUGGGUUCAAAUGGAUAAUGUGAUGUGAUGAUGGCAGCUGAAAUUAAAAGCAAGAACUCACUUUGGGGGAAAAAAAAAACAAGAAAAAAAGAGUGACCUUGGUAGCUGCUUAUAUUAGCAUUCUUGAUUAAUGUCUGCUUUAAAAAAAUCACACGGGUAAUGCAGCUAUAAUCAUUGUACCAGUCAUAACCAAUUAGUUAUGUUUAUGUAAUAUGAAACAAUAUGCAGGCAGGGCUGCCUGGAAUCCCACUUUCUUCCACAAAGGGAGUCAAGAUCACAUGGAUUGCCGCUUCUGUCUGUGCCUUGCCUUUGCAGGACACUAUUCUGAUUGCGACCAGGUCUGUUAUGUAAGCACCGCAUUCAGUCUGCUCUGCCAGUGAUUCACAAAGUUACUUCUUUUGUGGACGUGGAAGGGACCUGAAAGAACUGUCCAUAACGGCAUGUUCCCAAUUCAAUAAGCCUCUAUCCUUCUACGCCUCAGAAAAGAAACUGGAUGGCAGACCCAUAACCAGCAAGCCCUAGCUGUUCUGGAGCCCUGUUUUGUUUGGCCUACUCAGUGUUUGUGAUAACUUUCGUUUGGAGCCCAAACUUGAACAAUAGAGACUUCACAUGAAUAGCUGGAUUUUGUUUGUGUGUUUCUUUUUGAAAAAUGCAAGGAAUGGUAGGAAUUGGUUGGAGUUGAAUCAUGGUUGCCCCUUAGAAGGGGCCUGUGCUCCCAGCCCACCCCAGAAUCAAUCCCUUUCAUUCUGUAUUACGUGUGGGCCCUUAGGUGCAGUGGAGUUUAUGGCCUCUGCUUUCCCUUCACUGUCGUUUUCCCUCCACCACCUUGUUGGUGGAAUGAAAGAUUAUAAUGAGCGACAGUUCUGAUCAAAUUGGAAAUAGUUCACUUAUCAUUGUGUCAAUUUUUUGUAAACAGGAACUCAAGAUCCACACAGUUAUAAAUGUCCUUAGAGGCCCAGAAAUGUAUCAAGUACCGGAUAUGGCACGUAGUAGCCGCUUGGCAAGCGUCUAUUGAGUGAAUCUACGAAUAGAACUCUUGAGUGUGUGGGGACUCAGGGUCAUUUGUUUGGCUGGAAGAAGAGACCUUACAGGGCAGUUUGGGAAUAUUAAUGACACUCUUUAAGUACACAAAGAGUUUGGAUGACAGCUAGCAAUUUUUUUUCAUUUCCAUAAAAUACAGGAUUUUAUUUUUAUUUUGUGAUGGGAUACCUUGGCCACGUUAUACCAACACCCUUCUGGGGGACAUUAAACUUUGGUGACCUUAUAAAAUUUCAAUAAAUUUUAUUUUUCUCAUCCAAGCAAAAUGUCCUCUUGGGUUCAGUUGGGUGUGACGCCUGACAGUCUCUCUAACCUGAUACUGUCUAUUUCUCCCAGUGUGGGCUGUGAAACAGGGACCUCUGUGUCUUUGUGCCCCAGAGACAUUUGGUGUUAACCAUGAAUGCUUAUACUGUUAAUAACAUUUAGGUCCUGUCCUACAAGGAAAAAUACAAGUUAUUAAUGCUUCUAUCACAGUGAUUCAGGACUAGGGCUUCACAGAUUGACAGGGUUUGAAUCUUUGUUCUACUAUUUGUUCAUCAUGUGGCCCUGAGCAAGUUAUAUCUCAUUGCUGUGCCUUAAUUUUCUCAUCUGCAAAAUGAGUAUCCCAGUAGUAAGAUCAUAGCAUAGUUAGAACAACGCCUUAAACAUAACCUCCAGUAAAUGACAGCUGCCACUCUGGUGGUAGUAAUGAUAGCAGAAGUGAUAUCUGUCUUAAAUUAUAAAAAUGUGCCACUAAGAACUUUUUUUAAUUUAGUUUUUUGUCUCUUUUCCCCCAGCUUUAUUGAAGUAUAAUUGACAAAUAAAACUGUGUAUAUUUAAGGUAUAGUUUUCAUCAAAUGCAUUUAUUACUUUGAGAAUUGCACAGCCCUUUUGUCACUAGACUGUAAAAAUAUUGGAUACGUUUUCACCCAUUAGUGUAUGAUUGAGUUGGAUUUGGUGAAACAAGAACCCUUCAGGUAUGCAUAGAAGGGGCCCCUUGCUUUCCUGGUUAUGACAGGCAGAGGAGGCCUGUUUGAGGGAAGGUAAUUAUCUUCCUGCAGUAAUUACUUUUCUAUAAAAAUCCAACACUCUCUCACCCCUGAUUACUGAAGGAAAACAAAGCUCUGGUUUCUGUGUGAGCUCCUUGUAGUGAGAGGCCAGCAUUGGAAUGUGGUGUGAUGUCACUGCUGAUUGGCCCCAGGGUUCUGGGUUUCAUCUGUGUUGUUGGAAUACCUCAAUUUAUCUGUUUUCUACAGGGGAUUACAGCACUCUUCAGGGGUUUGGAAAGUUCUGAAAUGAAAACAUACUUCAGGGGUAACACAUGCCUAUACCAAACACUGGCAGUCCUCACAGGGCUAACAGUAUAUGCUAACCUUAUGGAGACUUUAUUUUUUUCUUAACCAUCAAACCACAGGAGUUUUAAGCUGGCUUUAUUACCAUCUCUUCCUCUGACCCACUCCCUUACUUACUUUGGGCAGAAACUUUAUUUUAUUUUUAUUUAUUUAUUUUUUGAAACAGUCUCGUUCUGUCGCCCAGGCUGGAGUGCAGUGGUGCAAUCUCAGCUCACUGCAGCCACUGCCUCCUGGGUUCAAACGAUUCUUGUGCCUCAGCCUCCCGAGUAGCUGGGACCAUAGGCACCCACCACCACACCUGGAUUUUUUUUUUUUUUUUUUUUUGAGAUGGAGUCUUGCUCUGUUGCCCAAGCUGGAGUGCAAUGGUGCAAUCUCCGCUCACUGCAACCUCUGCCUCCCGGGUUCAAGUGAUUCUCCUGCCUCAGCCUCCUGAGUAGCUGGGAUUACAGGCAUGCACCAUCAUGCCUAGCUAAUUUUUGUAUUUUUAGUAGAGACAGGGUUUCACUAUGUUGGCCGGGCUGGUCUCGAACUCCUGACUUGAAGUGAUUUACCCACCUCGGCUUCCCAAAGUGCUGGGAUUACAGGCAUGAGCCACCGUGCCCAGACAGAAACUUGAUUUUAGUAGCAAGAUUACAAAUGUUUAUGUUGGGCCUCUUCUUUCCAGUUACUUAAAAAUGCAUUUCAAGUCUCUACCAAGUAACAGUGAAUUCUAUCAGAGUUGUUUCCCAAAGUGGCUUUUGUUCCCCCAUGUGAUAUGGAUACCACUGAAACAAAAGCCUUUUAUUUUAUUUUUUUUUUAAGUAGAUGCCUUGUAGAUUAUAAGAGGGAAUAGAUAUAGUGUGGCAGUUAAAAGGCAGAAGCAGGGAGGGAAGUCUUCUAGAGUCAGAAUCGAAUGUAUCCCUGCUAAUUAUGCCUGUGACCUUGGCAAGUUCUUACUUCUCAGUUUUGUCCUUUGUAAAUCAGAAGUCAUUUGUGUCCCGCCCUCUAGGUGGUGGGUGGGAUCACUGCUCAGCCCACCCUUAGUAAGCACUCAGCCACUAAUAUGUUACCUUUAUUACUGCUUUACUGUUAUUGUACCUUGCUGUAAACUGAACCUGGAAGAAAAUUCUACUUAUUGCAAUUAUGAGAUGUCAUGUUUUCAAAGGAUUUUCAAAAUACUUUUUUUCUGAUACAAAUAUUUGAUUUAUCUCUCUUUGUGAUUGAAUCUCAUUUCAAAUUUUAUUGACCACCACAACCUCUUUAUUUAAUCAAUAACUACUCAAAGAUGGAGAAAUGCAGUCACCAAUAUGACUUAUGUCACUUAAUUUUAACUACCAGGAGACCAUGAACUGCUUGAGCUGGUCAUUUCAUCAGUUGUCCCUUAUUUACUGAGCACCUACUAUGUGCCAGGCAGGAAUGAGUUCUGGGAAAACAAUGGCAAAUAAGAAAAAAUCCCCUGCCCUCAAAGAGCCUGUGGUUUAAUGGCAACAUUACUUCUUACUCGUGUUUGUGUCCAUCUCACAUUGCAUAGUACCUGGCAUACAGUACUGAUGCUCAAUCAAUGUGGGGUUGUUUUGGGUGAAUUGAGUGCAGCUUAACUGAAAUGGAAGUCCAGUGCUAUUUCUGGAAAUUUUCUUUAAAAAAAUAAGAUUUUUCCAUGAAAAGACCCCCUUGUCUUUAUGUUUUAUUUGUUAACAAUCCCAAUCCAUCUGAUUGGAUGGAAAAAUGAAUCUAGCUGAUUACUGUUUUCUUGCUUUUUAAAGAAGCCCUUUGCUGUGACUCUAUUUAUAUAAAAUUGCAUGUGGUGUUUUGGUAUAUCAAGACAUGUUUAAAAGAAGGUUUUUCCAAAAUAUAAACCAAGGUUGGGACUUGCUCUUGAACUUUACUGUACUUUACAGCAUGAUGAGUUCCUUCUCUAGUGUGCACAAAACUCCUGGUCUGCCCACAAACCAGCAGCCUUCCCUUCUACACCUCCAGAUAAAGAAGAAAGACAGUGGGUGAUGGGAUGGGAAGGAGGUGGCGAGAGGAAGACAUAUUAGGUGCUUGGCUUUGUAUGGAACACUGUAUGUGUUUUUUGUUUUUUUAAAUCACCUCUUACCUUUGAGGUAGAUAGUGUUGAUCACCUGUACAGAUAAGGAACCUAAGGCUCAGAGGUUAAGAAACUUUCUCAAGAACACUCAGUAGAGAGGUAGCAGAGUUAGGAUUUGAGCCCAGGUUUGCCAACCCCAAGCUGCUGUAUAUGGGAACAAGAAUGCACCUCUUCUCUAUCUAAUAGAUAUUCUUGGCUAAGUCUUGCAAGGGUGAAAAUUGUCUUAGUCCAAGCUGCUCUGGGCCAGGUAAGACAGAUCACAGGAAGUGGUAGGUUAAAAUGUGGCCCCUCUUGUGCUACUCCUGUGUUCAGCUCUCCUGUGGUGGGGCACAGCAGCUUGAUAGGAGUCAGCGUGGUCUGGAAUUCCCUCAAGUUUCCAUGGUUUCAGUUCCAGUACACAGAGUGCUACUCUCCCCCUGUAGAAAAUGAGAAACACUCCUCUUCUGAGUCUAUUUCUCAGGAUCUGUUAGAUAAGAUGCAGAAGUUUUGUCUAGGUCUAGUUAGAAAUCUUGCAUCUUUGGUUUUCUUUGUUCAUCAGCUUCUUCAACUUUCAUUGCAUAUGGAAUUCCAGGAUAUCUGUGACAAGGACUCAAGAUGAAAGCAAAUUUUGUACCACUUCCAUGUGUGUGGAAGCUUCUAGGAUGGACCUGGCACUAAGUAAAGAACAGCCUUUAAAAAAUGUUCUACUUCCUUCUGGACUCCAAGAGGUUCUGAUGAGAAAUCCACAAUUAUUCAAAUCAAAUUUCUGGCUUUUGGGCUGGAUUGAGUACAGGCUGGGAGGAAAACAAGAAGAAUGAUAUACUCACCACCAGUUUACUGAGACUUCAAAGCAUUCAUUUGGUCAAGCUUCAUUUGAGUGACAUUUAUUUCAAGCAAUGUAGCAGAAUGAUUCAAUAUGUGGACUACAAAGUCCUUCUGUAAAACUCUCUUCCAUUCCAUCUAUUGACAUAAAAAUUCCCGGCCUAGCUCUGUAUCCACAGAGUUCUAUCAUCUGAAAAUCAAAGAGCCACCUCGAAAGUAAAAUUGUGUACCCCAUGACUGACUACUGUGAUUUUGAAGCAUAGCAUUUAGGAGAUUUCACGGGAAAUUUGAAAUUUUGCUGCUUUUGCUGAUGAAGUCUGUAUGCAGCCCAUGGUGGGCUGAAUUGCAAUAUCUACACUGAAUUCCAAUCAGAUAUGAAAAUGUAGUAAAUUAAUGUGAAUUAGAAUUGCAGUCUCCUGAAUAUCCUUCCCUUCAGAGUCAUGGACUCAUUCAUAAUGAGGAUGUGUGUGUGUUACUUACUUAUCCCAAGGUGUGAGAUUAGCAGAUGACUGCUGGGCAAAUCAGUAAAGCUUUUGUGCACUGUGAAGGCAAGAAUAAACCAGCUAUUUUAACCCAAGCCCAGGCAUUCCCUUCUCUGGAUUCCCUAGCGGAUCCUUCAGCUGAAUCUGAGCCUUAAAAAUAAAGCCACUUUCUAUGCCUCUCUGUGCAUACUGAGAAUCCUGCCAAAGCCUUCUAUGAGGUAUCUGUGAAUUUACCCUGGGAGAAUACCACAGAGUGUCCCUGGCUUCCUGUUCUAAAUGACCCACUCCAAUGACACACUGUAAUAUUACUUAAGGUAGGGAGAAUGAGCUGCCAAAACCCAUUUAUCACUUUGCUGGCCUUGGACUGUGCACAUCCGUCUAAAGUUAAACAAGGGUCAUAGGAAGAGCUUUUCUUCUCUCCUGCCUUGCCAACACAAGUAUCUUGUAUAAAGAUUAAAAUAAAUUAUCUGAUGUUUCACUGCAGGGUUUUCCACCCCUACAAAGUACUGUUCUUUAAAUAUAUGUAGAAGAAUGAAUUGGGGAAGAUAGAUGCUUGAAAUUUUACAAAUAAAUAUUGAAUGUCCAAAGCUAGGAGACAUUGGUUAAAUAAAGUAUGGUUAUUCAUAAAAUGGAAUAUUAUGCUGCCUUUAAAAAUAAGGCUGAAGAAUACUUAAUAAAGUACAAAUAUGGCCAGGAUAUUCUAUUAUAUGGAUAAUUAUCAUCUAAUCAAAAUAAUAUGCAGAAUAUUUGGUUACUAUGUAGAAUAUUAAAAAUUAAAAAUAUAUACACAGGAAAAAGUAUUGAAAGGUAUGCACCAACACAUUUUUGUAGUUACCUUUGAGUACAAAGACUAGGUCUGAAUUUUCCUUUCUAUCUUAUUCUCUCUCUCUCUUUCCUUCAUCAAUACUAAAUUUUCUUUCAAAAUAAACUAAACAUUAAGUUAUUUAAAUAAGUUAACUGGUGCUAAUGCUUAUCUAAAAUAGAAAAAUUGCCAAUUAAUUUGAAACAAGAGGAACAGAUUUUGGAACAUUUUAUUUCUGACAGUUAAAUUUAUGUAUGUUUUAAACAGACUCUUUAGAAACUGUGGAGUGGGUCAGGGUGAUGGUAUAGAGGAACUCUGUGCUUUCUUCUUAAUAUUUCUGUAAACCUAAAUCUCUAAAAAUAUCUAUGAAAAUUUUGAAAGACCCUUUACAUUUUCACUAGUUGGCCAUCUUUUAUUGUCUCAUGAUCACAGGUGAUGUCAGUUAACAUGUUAUGUUAACAUUUGAGUUUUAAUAAGUCAUAAGGGCAGUGCUUAUGAGCAAGAUGAUUCUGUCUGUAGUCUGGAAAGAAGCAAGGACUUGCUAAGAACUCUGAACUCUGUUGUAUCUGGUAUUAUAGAUUUCUUUUCUGGCUGGCUCCUCCUGGCCUCUUGAACCCCAAACUCUAUCAGCCUUCAUCUCUCUCCUAGUCAUAGACCAGGCAGACUAUUCACCUGCUAGAUUCCUGUAUUUGCUGGUUAUAACCUCUGUUCUCAGAGCCUUUGUUGUGUUCAACACUGUAUUAGUCUGUUCUCAUGCUGCUAAUAAAGACAUACCCAAGAAACAAAAGAGGUUUAAUUGACUCACAGUUCAGCAUGGCUGAGGAGGUCUCAGGAAACUUACAAUCAUGGCAGAAGGGGAAGCAAACAUGUCCUUCUUCACAUGACAGCAGGUGAGAGAAGAAUGAAACCAAGAGAAGGGGGAAGUCCCUUAUAAAACCAUCAGAUAUCAUGAGAAAUUACUCACUAUCCACAAGAACAACAUGGGCGAAACCAUCCCAUGAUUCAAUUAUCUCCACCUAGUCCCACCCUUGACACAUGGGGAUUAUUACACUUCAAGGUGAGAUUUGGGUGGGGACACAGAGCCAAACCAUAUUAAAUGCACAUACCCAUUCUGAAAGGCUGCCACAGUGACAUCACAGCCACUCUUUUGGAAUGAUCUUGACCCCAGAGAGCCUUGAUUGAAAUGUAUGUUUGAGUACUAACCACAUUCCCCAAAAGAAAGAUGUGAGGCCCAGGAUGAGUAAAGCAUGUUUGAAAUGAGUACAGGAGCUACAAGGCCAUGAUAUACAGGGUUGAGAUCUCCAUCCCAAUCCUGUAUGUACAUUUUGCUCCGUGGUCCCUAUAGCAGGAGGCUACAGGGAGAAAGAAGAUAAAAGGUAGAAGGAAACCAAGUAAGAUUAGUGGAGGAGGUAGCAUUCUACUUUGUUUGGCCUGAAGUAGAAUGCUAGUUAUCAUUACCUAACCAACCAGUAGUAACUGGCUAGCCAAUUAACUAUAAUUAUUUUUCCUCUGCCUUUCAUCUCUCCAUAAACAAGCAUAAGUGCAUGCCCAGCUCUGUGCUAGGUUCUAGGGUUUUAAUGGCAGGAAUGAGCAUCAUCAGCCCCUUUUCCUCAUGAGGCCUGCAUUCUAACGGGAGAGCAUGGAUUGAAUAACUGCUAUGUAUAAAAAUGUAAAGUUGCUGCUUUGACAAGUGCUACGGAGGAGAGGAAAUAACAUAUCUCCACAUAUUAUGGAGAGGGUUUGAAUCUAAGGAGUCAGGAAAGACAUCCCCAGGGAAAUAACACUUCAGCUGACAUCUGAAGGAUGAGUUGGUGUGAAAUAGGCAGGGGAAGUGAAAGGUUUUCUAGGCAGAUGGAACAGAAUGUGCUAAAACUCUAAUAUUGUUGAUUGGGUGGGGGCCCAGAUCACUAAAAAAACCCUUCAGUUUUUAAUGUUACAACUCCCAAACACCUCACAGGACCCAUACAGGUGCAAGUGAAUGUUCUGCUGGACCUAUAAUAUUUAUUUUUUGUAUGUUUUGUUUCACCAUAAAAUCUGUUUUUACAGCUGUACUUUUUGGUACAGAAUUUGAACACAUACCAUAAAACAAUCACAAGGAAAGAGCACAUACAUUGACUGUUCUGAUUUUGAUUGCUAAGUGGCUACUGUCACCCAGCAAUUAUUUUGUCACCUUGGUAACUAUGAAAUAAGGACCAAAGGUCAGGCUCUCAAAUUUACAUUGCCUUAGUAACAUGAUUCUUGUACAGUUUUUAAUUUUGCUUAAUGUUACAGGUUUGAUUUUAUAUGCAAGCCAAAGUAGAUUGAGCCUUGCCCACAAGUUGUUUUCUUUGUAACUUUUUGAUAAGGUAAAGAGUUUUGUCAAGCACUGUUUUUAAUACUUGAAUUUAGAGAACUUCAAAGACAAUUAGUCCUGGUCAGAACAUUCAUCUGUGAUUAUUUUCACGGUGAAAUUGUAGUAUUAAGUCUCCUGAUGUUAAGGGAAUCAUUUUACUUCAAAGCGUAGUUCCAGAAUAUUCUUUCUGGUCUUGCCACAAGUUCAUAUUCCUUAAAGUUUUAUUCUUAUAAGAGCUGUUCAGUGAAUACAGUAGUGAGAAAAUGGAUGAAAAACAUGUGGUAUUUUUAUUUAAGGGCUCAGUUGAUCAUUUUCUUUUUUAAACCUCAGUCAGCAAUCUUACUUAUUUCUCCAAAAUAAGAGUUUGUACUGUGCAUGUGUUAAAACUGUUGAAAAAUGACAAAUACAUAGUAUGGUAGUGGAAUGGCAUCAGGAAUCACUAUGUGUAUUUAAUUUUUUAAGUUAAAAAAGCCAAACUCUUAUUUUCAUAAGAUAUGGUAACAGAAACCAAAUGGGAAAAAAAUUAUAAUUUUUUUUAUAAGAUAAAACUUUUGGAAUAGAAUAGUAAUGCUCUUGAAUAAUGUUGACCUAAAAGAUACUAUGACAUACUUUGAAGUGUGAUAUUAUUAAUAUUAAAACAGAAUAACAAUUAAUGUCUUUAUGACUGCAGUUUAAGAAAAAUAACAAAUUCUUUUAGGUGAACCAGAGUGUUACUGGCGGUUUGCUAUGCUAGUUUCUCAGCAGGAUUUCAGAGAUUUUCCUUGCUUUCUCCUAAUCUGACAUCUGACUUAUUAUUUGUAUUGUAAGUGUUCUUACAGUAGAAGUAUUCAUUUUCUUUCCAGAUUUCCUUUCAUAUUUAAACUAAAGUUUGUCUAUGUUAUCCUUUCCCCCAGGCUACUUCCCUGGUCUGUAUCCUUGAAGUAAUUUAUAUAUGGUAUAAAUAUUCUUAACUCAUAAGCAAUAUUGAAUUUAUUGUGCUAACUGCUAUAAGUGAUCUAUGACCACUGCUAGUUAUAUGCCUGUCAUUUGUGCAGUUAUUAUUCUACUGAGAUGAUCUGAUGAAAGUUUUCCUGCCACUCUCAAGGUAUCUGCUGUCAUGACUGGAGUUCUUUCCUGUCUACUUUCUAUAUUUUCCUGAUUAAAUUUUUUUGCCUUGUAUAACUACUGGAAAAACUUUGGCUCUUUUCUAAAAAGCAACAUGCUUUCAAAAAUAAAGCACACAUUCUGGUGAAAAACUAUAGAUGUCCCAAGAGAAAAUAUUAAGAACAUGAUUAAUUAUGUCAUAAUUGAUUGAGUACUUUCUACAUGCCAGACACUGAGCUAAGUACUUUACAUGUAUUAUCUAUCUCAUGGAACCCUAUGAAGUCACUGCCUUUUUAUGCCUGUUUUUUCAGAUGAGGAAGCUGAAGCUCAAGUCAGUUAAGAAACUUGUCCAAAGUGUUAUAAAUUGGUGGAGCUGGAAUUCAGACCUCAUAAGGAAAUAUUUUAAGACUGUGAUCAUUUAAGACAAAUAAUGUCACACUUAAUUGCCUUAGGGUACCUCUGAAAGUGAGCUUAUUCAAUAACAGAGCCUUUCCCCUCAACCAUUGUGUCUUACUGUUUCUUCUCCUCUUUUAAACACCUUCAGUGAUCUAGGACUGUUACUUGGAUUGUCCUCAGAGUUUCCAAGAGAUUGGUAUUGAAAGUAAGUAAUGCUGCCUGUAGUUUUGAAAAUGAGGCAUAAUGGGCUCUAUCGUGUCUUCAGGACAGUUACCCAAGUAAUAAGUCUCCCCCUUCCAUUUCCAAUUGCCUAAAGGUCAUUUGCAUUACAGGAUAUUGUUAGACAUUUCUUUAAAUGGCAGUCUAUUGCAUUCAAGUAUUUAAUCAAAAUGGUAUGUGUUGGUGGACAUACAGAUGGGAAGAAUAGACGCUGGGGACUACUAGAGGGGGAGGUUGGAAGGAGAGCAAGGGUUAAAAGACUACUGGGCGCUAUGCUUACUACCUGGGUGAGGGGAUUACUUGUACCCCAAACCUCAGCAUCAUGCAACAUACCCAUGUAACAAACCUGCACAUGUACCCUUUGAAUCUAAAAUAAAAGUUGAAAUAAAAGAUAAAUUAAAAAGAAAA